ACAAAUUUUAUUUGGAUGUUGCUUUUAAGAAUUGUUGUAGUAACAAAUAAGGAACAUCAUGUAAAUGAGUUGUACCCAGUCCACUACCGAUCAAAUGCAAGUAGCUAAGCAACUUGGCACUUGUUAAGUAACUUCAACCCUCAAAACUACACCCAACAAAUGAAAAUCACUUUUAAAAGGGUACCCUACAAUUCAAGAAGAGGACCCUUCUGUCAAAGUGACAUUAUAGUGCUUGCCCUAAGUUGAUCAGAAACUAACCUAUCAAAAUCUCCCCAUGUGUACCCUUUAGCAUAACACCAGCUUUUCACCAGAUUGCUAAGGAUGAGACCCAACUUCCAGGGAUGGAUUCUGUAGUUCUUUUGUUUUGCUGAUAUCUUCUGUAAGGGACCACAAUUGCAUAUUUCCGUAUCACCAUAUGAGCGGUAACUAGUAAGCUUGUCACAACUUUAUGCUGGGCUUCAACAAUUAUUGAAGUGAACUUUGGAUGUUUUGAGUAAACCAAUUUUCAUUUAUUGUAUUAAUGGAAAGGCAUAGUGCAUGUAUGAGAAUGCAAUAGGACUACUGUAUUCCAC
rnacentral:lncRNA from 1 species